rnacentral:rRNA from 1 species
CUAAACUGAGGAAAGUCGGCCGAAACUGAUCGACUCGAGGAACGUAGAGGGAAGCGGAACUCUCGGAGUAGCGGUGAAAUGCGUAGAGACCGAGAGGUACCCCGAUGGUGAAGACAGCUUCCUGGGCGUUUCCUGACGCUGAAGCGCUAAGGCCAGGGGAGCGAAGGGGAUUAGAUACCCCCGUAGUCCUGGCUUCAAACGAUGUGGGCUUGGUGUCGGCUCCCGACAGAGAGUCGUUGCCGGAGCUAACGUGUUAAGCCCACCGCCUGGGGAUUACGUCCGCAAGGAUGAAACUCAAGGGAAUUGACGGGGGCCCACACAACCGGUGGAGCACGUGGUUUAAUUCGAUGAUAAGCGAAGAACCUUACCAGGGCUUGACCCAGCGGUGGUAGGAUCCUGAAAGGGAAACGACCUCAAGCUUUGCUUGAGGAGCC